rnacentral:sRNA from 1 species
GACGUCAUCCAGCGUAUGCAUAAGCCCUGCUAUUGUCUUACUGCUACAGCAGGGCUGGGGAUUGCAGUAUCCGCUGUUGCUGCUGCUCCCAGUCCUGCCCCUGCUGCUACCUAGUCCAGCCUCACUGCAUCCCAGAAGAGCCACGUCGGCCUUCAUUUGCCUAGUGGAUUUUCAAAAGCUCUUCGGUUUUUGGUGCUGUUAAGAGACCUUGCAUUUCAAUCACACGGGAGAAAACUGAAGCUCGUAACAGGAGAAUCUGGCAGCUGGACACAGCUUGGACUGCAUUGUCUGGCUUCAUGACCCCUGCUGUGUAGCCGGCUCAUCUCUUCACUCUCACAUGUACACUCUCCUCGCUUUUCUUUCUUUUUUUUCCCCCUUUUCUUUCUUCUAAUUUUUAAAAAGCAGCCUCUGGAGCCAGCCAUGUUUGGCACUGAAUCUUCAUUGAGCAUGUUUUUGAACACAUUAACACCGAAGUUCUACGUGGCCCUAACAGGCACUUCCUCACUAAUAUCAGGGCUUAUUUUGAUAUUUGAAUGGUGGUAUUUUCGCAAAUAUGGAACUUCAUUCAUUGAACAAGUCUCAGUAAGCCACUUGCGCCCCCUUCUGGGAGGGGUUGACAACAACUCUUCCAACAAUUCUAAUUCCAGUAACGGGGACUCAGAUUCCAAUAGGCAAAGUGUCUCAGAAUGCAAAGUAUGGCGAAAUCCACUAAAUUUAUUUAGGGGUGCUGAAUAUAAUCGGUAUACUUGGGUGACAGGACGAGAGCCUCUUACUUACUAUGACAUGAAUCUCUCUGCCCAGGACCACCAGACAUUCUUUACUUGUGACUCGGACCAUCUGCGUCCCGCAGAUGCAAUAAUGCAGAAAGCCUGGAGAGAGAGAAACCCCCAAGCUAGGAUUUCUGCAGCUCAUGAAGCCUUGGAGAUAAAUGAAAUUAGGUCCAGAGUUGAAGUUCCCCUAAUUGCUUCCUCUACCAUCUGGGAGAUAAAAUUGUUACCAAAGUGUGCAACUGCUUAUAUUCUCUUGGCUGAAGAGGAAGCAACAACCAUUGCCGAAGCAGAAAAACUAUUUAAGCAGGCCCUGAAGGCUGGAGAUGGCUGUUACCGACGCUCUCAGCAGCUACAACAUCAUGGAUCCCAGUAUGAAGCCCAACAUAGACGAGACACCAAUGUCUUGGUGUACAUCAAAAGAAGGCUAGCAAUGUGUGCCAGAAGACUCGGGAGGACCAGGGAAGCAGUGAAAAUGAUGAGAGAUUUAAUGAAGGAGUUCCCCCUUCUGAGUAUGUUCAAUAUCCAUGAAAACCUUUUAGAAGCCCUUCUGGAACUACAAGCAUAUGCUGAUGUUCAGGCAGUCUUAGCAAAGUAUGAUGAUAUAAGCUUACCAAAGUCAGCAACAAUAUGCUACACAGCUGCUUUGCUCAAAGCAAGAGCUGUUUCUGACAAAUCGCCAGUACCUACUGCAACAUCUUUUCUCCCUACACAGCGACUCCAGCUUGGGAGGGCAGGGCCAGGGUUGUCACAGCUUCCCCUGUGGUGUCUGCCUGCCAAGCACAGCUCUGGAGUUAGCCCUGGGUGUGAGAUUCUCUCCUGAGGCUGCAUCUCGGCGGGGGCUGAGCACAGCAGAGAUGAAUGCAGUAGAGGCCAUUCAUAGAGCUGUGGAAUUCAAUCCUCAUGUGCC